CUUUUACAAUGAAGAGUUUGAUCCUGGCUCAGGAUGAACGCUAGCUACAGGCUUAACACAUGCAAGUCGAGGGGCAUCAGGAAGAAAGCUUGCUUUCUUUGCUGGCGACCGGCGCACGGGUGAGUAACACGUAUCCAACCUGCCCUUUACUCGGGGAUAGCCUUUCGAAAGAAAGAUUAAUACCCGAUAGCAUAAUGAUUCCGCAUGGUUUCAUUAUUAAAGGAUUCCGGUAAAGGAUGGGGAUGCGUUCCAUUAGGUUGUUGGUGGGGUAACGGCUCACCAAGCCUUCGAUGGAUAGGGGUUCUGAGAGGAAGGUCCCCCACAUUGGAACUGAGACACGGUCCAAACUCCUACGGGAGGCAGCAGUGAGGAAUAUUGGUCAAUGGGCGCUAGCCUGAACCAGCCAAGUAGC
rnacentral:rRNA from 1 species